CCUACGGGAGGCAGCAGUGAGGAAUAUUGGUCAAUGGGCGCGAGCCUGAACCAGCCAAGUCGCGUGAGGGAUGACGGCCCUACGGUUUGUAAACCCCUUUUGCCGGGGAGCAACGGGCGCCACGUGUGGCGCCACUGAGAGUACCCGGCGAAAAAGCAUCGGCUAACUUCGUGCCAGCAGCCGCGGUAUUACGGAGGAUGUGAGCGUUAUCCGGAUUUAUUGGGUUUAAAGGGUGCGUAGGCGGAUCGUUAAGUCAGUGGUCAAAUUGAGGGGCUCAACCCCUUGCUGCCAUUGAAACUGGCGCUCUUGAGUGGAAGAGAGGUAUGCGGAAUGCGUGGUGUAGCGGUGAAAUGCAUAGAUAUCACGCAGAACACCGGUUGCGAAGGCAGCAUGCCGGCUUCCGACUGACGCUGAGGCACGAAAGCGUGGGGAUCGAACAGGAUUAGAUACCCGGGUAGUC
rnacentral:rRNA from 1 species